AGAGUUUGAUCCUGGCUCAGGACGAACGCUGGCGGCGCGCCUAACACAUGCAAGUCGAACGAGCGAGAGAGAGCUUGCUUUCUCGAGCGAGUGGCGAACGGGUGAGUAACGCGUGAGGAACCUGCCUCAAAGAGGGGGACAACAGUUGGAAACGACUGCUAAUACCGCAUAAGCCCACGGGUCGGCAUCGACCAGAGGGAAAAGGAGCAAUCCGCUUUGAGAUGGCCUCGCGUCCGAUUAGCUGGUUGGUGAGGUAACGGCCCACCAAGGCGACGAUCGGUAGCCGGACUGAGAGGUUGAACGGCCACAUUGGGACUGAGACACGGCCCAGACUCCUACGGGAGGCAGCAGUGGGGAAUAUUGCACAAUGGGGGAAACCCUGAUGCAGCGACGCCGCGUGGAGGAAGAAGGUCUUCGGAUUGUAAACUCCUGUUGUUGGGGAAGAUAAUGACGGUACCCAACAAGGAAGUGACGGCUAACUACGUGCCAGCAGCCGCGGUAAAACGUAGGUCACAAGCGUUGUCCGGAAUUACUGGGUGUAAAGGGAGCGCAGGCGGGAAGACAAGUUGGAAGUGAAAUCCAUGGGCUCAACCCAUGAACUGCUUUCAAAACUGUUUUUCUUGAGUAGUGCAGAGGUAGGCGGAAUUCCCGGUGUAGCGGUGGAAUGCGUAGAUAUCGGGAGGAACACCAGUGGCGAAGGCGGCCUACUGGGCACCAACUGACGCUGAGGCUCGAAAGUGUGGGUAGCAAACAGGAUUAGAUACCCUGGUAGUCCACACCGUAAACGAUGAUUACUAGGUGUUGGAGGAUUGACCCCUUCAGUGCCGCAGUUAACACAAUAAGUAAUCCACCUGGGGAGUACGACCGCAAGGUUGAAACUCAAAGGAAUUGACGGGGGCCCGCACAAGCAGUGGAGUAUGUGGUUUAAUUCGACGCAACGCGAAGAACCUUACCAAGUCUUGACAUCCGUUGACCGACAUAGAAAUAUGUUUUUCCUUCGGGACAGCGAGACAGGUGGUGCAUGGUUGUCGUCAGCUCGUGUCGUGAGAUGUUGGGUUAAGUCCCGCAACGAGCGCAACCCUUAUGGUCAGUUACUACGCAAGAGGACUCUGGCCAGACUGCCGUUGACAAAACGGAGGAAGGCGGGGAUGACGUCAAAUCAUCAUGCCCUUUAUGACUUGGGCUACACACGUACUACAAUGGCGUUAAACAAAGAGAAGCAAGACCGCGAGGUGGAGCAAAACUCAGAAACAACGUCCCAGUUCGGACUGCAGGCUGCAACUCGCCUGCACGAAGUCGGAAUUGCUAGUAAUCGUGGAUCAGCAUGCCACGGUGAAUACGUUCCCGGGCCUUGUACACACCGCCCGUCACACCAUGAGAGCCGGGGGGACCCGAAGUCGGUAGUCUAACCGC
rnacentral:rRNA from 1 species